GCCGGUAAAAGCCGGAGGAAGGUGAGGAUGAUGUCAAGUCAGCAUGACCUUUAUAUCCAGGGCUACACACACGCUACAAUGGUCUGGUACCAAUGGGUAGCCAAGCCGCGAGGCGGAGCCAAUCCUGAAAGCAGGCCUCAGUUCAGAUUGCAGUCUGCAACUCGACUGCAUGAAGCCGGAGUUGCUAGUAACCGCAGGUCAGCAAUACUGCGGUGAAUACGUUCCCGGGUCUU
rnacentral:rRNA from 1 species